rnacentral:rRNA from 1 species
UACGUAGGGGGCAAGCGUUGUUCGGAAUUACUGGGCGUAAAGGGCGCGUAGGCGGCAUGGCAAGUCGGGAGUGAAAGCCCGGGGCUCAACCCCGGGAACUGCUUUCGAAACUGCCAAGCUAGAGUGCGGAAGAGGCAACUGGAAUUCCCAGUGUAGCGGUGAAAUGCGUAGAUAUUGGGAAGAACACCGGAGGCGAAGGCGGGUUGCUGGGCCGACACUGACGCUGAUGCGCGAAAGCCAGGGGAGCGAACGGG